GGACCGUAUCGGAUACUGGGGCGUAAGCGUGCGCAGGCGGUUGUGCAAGACCGAUGUGAAAUCCCCGGGCUUAACCUGGGAAUUGCAUUGGUGACUGCACGGCUAGAGUGUGUCAGAGGGAGGUAGAAUUCCACGUGUAGCAGUGAAAUGCGUAGAGAUGUGGAGGAAUACCGAUGGCGAAGGCAGCCUCCUGGGAUAACACUGACGCUCAUGCACGAAAGCGUGGGGAGCAAACAGGAUUAGAUACCCUGGUAGUCCACGCCCUAAACGAUGUCAACUAGUUGUUGGGGAUUCAUUUCCUUAGUAACGUAGCUAACGCGUGAAGUUGACCGCCUGGGGAGUACGGUCGCAAGAUUAAAACUCAAAGGAAUUGACGGGGACCCGCACAAGCGGUGGAUGAUGUGGAUUAAUUCGAUGCAACGCGAAAAACCUUACCUACCCUUGACAUGCCACUAACGAAGCAGAGAUGCAUUAGGUGCUCGAAAGAGAAAGUGGACACAGGUGCUGCAUGGCUGUCGUCAGCUCGUGUCGUGAGAUGUUGGGUUAAGUCCCGCAACGAGCGCAACCCUUGUCUCUAGUUGCUACGAAAGGGCACUCUAGAGAGACUGCCGGUGACAAACCGGAGGAAGGUGGGGAUGACGUCAAGUCCUCAUGGCCCUUAUGGGUAGGGCUUCACACGUCAUACAAUGGUGCAUACAGAGGGUUGCCAAGCCGCGAGGUGGAGCUAAUCCCAGAAAAUGCAUCGUAGUCCGGAUCGUAGUCUGCAACUCGACUACGUGAAGCUGGAAUCGCUAGUAAUCGCGGAUCAGCAUGCCGCGGGUGAAUACGUUUCCCGGGUCUUGUACACACCGCCCGUCACACCAUGGGGAGUGGGCUUUACCAGAAGUAGUUAGCCUAACCGCAAGGAGGGCGAUUACCACGGUAGGGUUCAUGACUGGGGUGAUACACAAAGGGGGCGCCACACCACAGCCCCCCCAA
rnacentral:rRNA from 1 species